CACGUCUCUUCUCAUGACAUCACGCGACUUUAAAUCUCGUUUUUUAGUGACCCCCAUUGCCCGUCGUAGCAAUCGAGAACGUACAUCUUUCAAUUAAAUUUUAAUUCAGUGAAAACACGACGCGGUUGGGGUGACUUUCCUGCAGUACAAACUAAACAUCGAUAGAGGGCGGUAAGUAGCGUGUGCUCCCGAUGGUGUUCCGUUUGACCACAGAAGAAGCGACGACGUCACCAACGUAGCAUGUAGCGGCUGGAGCCCGCUCGCCUCAUCUCUCAAACCAGAAGUGAAUAAAAUGCAAAUUUGUCGGUUGGCGGUGAGCCUGUGCAUCGGUGGCGAUAGAAUGGGCUCAGACGUUUGUGUUUACGCUCGCUGUGUAAAUAGUCUUAGCUAAAGCUCAAGUUGGCGGCGGCGGCUAUAAUCGGGUCGCAACUCGUCCGAUCCGCGGAUUGAAGCCUACCGGCGGGGAGGCGAUGUUGGACGCGUGGAGGUGAGUUUGUGGAGCUGUGCUGUCGGCCGGUGAGCGGGAUGGACACCUGGACCCCCAACCCCCGAGCCAAGCCCUUCAUACCCCGCCAGCAGAGGAGCUUGUACCUCACCUGGAAGUACAAACUGACCAACAAGCGCUCGCUCCGUCGCCUCUGCCAGGCUGGCGCCGUGCUGUUUCUCCUGGUCACAGUCAUCGUCAACAUCAAGCUGAUCUUGGACACGAGGCGAGUCGCCAAUGAAGAAGCAGCGCAGGAAUAUGAGGAUGUCCUACCCAACAUGGAGACGCCGCGCCGUCCGGCGAAAGGACGAAAGGUCCUGGACAUCGAGGUGUACUCCAGUCGCUCCAAAGUCUAUGUGGCUGUUGACGGAACUACUGUGUUGGAGGACGACAUGCGGGAACAAGGCAGAGGGAUCCACGUCAUUGUCCUGAACCAGGCGACGGGUCAUGUGAUGGCAAAGAGGAUCUUCGACACCUACUCCCCCCACGAGGACGAAGCCAUGAUCCUCUUCCUCAACAUGGUGACGCGCGGCCGAGUCCUCAUCUUCACCAUCAAGGAUGAAGGGACGUUCCACCUCAAGGACGCAGCCAAGAACUUGCUCAAGGGCCUCGGCAGUCAAGUGUCCCUCAGCCUCAGCUGGAGAGACAUGUGGACGCUGGUGGUGAAGAAAGGAGGUCAGGUUUAUGGUGAGAAGCACUCCAAGUCUCCAGCUCUAUCCACGUGGGGCGACCCGGUGCUCUUGAAGACGGAAGUGCAGCUGACGGCUUCUGAAGAGGCCGAGUGCCACUGGGCCGACACGGAGCUGAACCGACGCAGGAAGCUCUUCUGCAGCAAAGUGGAAGGAUACGGCAGCAUCUGCAGCUGCAAAGACCCGGCACCCAUCGAGUUCAACCCCGAUCCACUGCCCAUCAACAACGUCUUCAACGUACCAGUUGCUGUCAUUGCCGGAAACAGACCCAACUAUCUCUACAGGAUGCUCAGGUCACUGCUGUCCGCUCAUGGCGUCAACCCACUGAUGGUCACCGUCUUCAUCGACGGGUACUAUGAGGAGCCGAUGGAUGUGGUGGAGCUGUUCGGUCUGAAGGGAGUCCAACACACGCCUAUCAGUAUUAAGAACGCUCGGGUCUCGCAGCACUACAAAGCCAGUCUGACAGCAACGUUCAACCUUCACCCGGAGGCCAACUAUGCCAUCGUGCUGGAGGAGGAUCUGGACGUCUCCAUUGACUUCUUCAGUUUCCUGAGUCAGACCAUCCACCUGCUGGAUGAAGACGAGAGUGUGUACUGCAUCUCCGCGUGGAACGACCUGGGUUACGAGCAUACGGCGGAGGACCCGGCCCUGCUGUACAGAGUGGAGAGCAUGCCCGGCCUGGGCUGGGUUCUGAAGAAGAGCCUGUACAAGGACGAGCUGGAGCCCAAGUGGCCUACGCCAGAAAAGCUGUGGGACUGGGACAUGUGGAUGCGGAUGCCGGAGCAGCGGAAAGGCAGAGAGUGCAUCAUCCCAGACGUGUCCCGCUCUUACCACUUCGGCAUCAUCGGGCUGAACAUGAAUGGAUAUUUCCAUGAGGUUUACUUCAAGAAACACAAGUUCAACACGGUUCCCAACGUCCAGCUGAAGAACAUCGAAAGCUUGAAGAUCGACGCUUAUGAAGUGGAAAUUCAAAACUUGCUGAGAGAGGCAGAGGUCCUGGACCACUCCAAGAAUCCCUGCGAGGAUGCGUUCGUACCAGACACAGAAGGAAAAGUCUACAUCAUGUUUAUCAAGAUGGAGACGGAGGCGGACACAGCGACCUGGACCGAGAUGGCUAAGUGCCUCCACAUUUGGGACCUGGACGUGCGCGGAUAUCACCACGGUCUGUGGCGACUCUUCAGGAAGAAGAACCACGUGCUGGUGGUGGCCACGCCCAUCUCUCCGUACUCUGUGAAGAAACCAGCCAGCGUCACCCCGGUUCACCUGGAGCCGCCACCCAAAGAGGAAGGAGCACCGAUGGAUCAGAUAAAUGAAGGCAGCGAUGAGGAGAGUGCAGCAGGAUGGAUGAUGGUGAAGGUGUCAAUGGAGGAGGAGGAUGGCAAGAGGUGGUGGAGAAAAUGAAGGAGUUACUUUGGAAACUCAUCCAAGGAUGUUUACUACACUCUUCAUACCAUCAUCAACGUCUUGGACCCCAGAAUGCUGCGGUGGCUCCCUCUGACCGCUAGAGGGCAGCGCUCGUCUUCUCUGACCACUUCCUUUGUGUCAGUCCUGUGAAGGAAGGCUUUGUCCCUCAACGUUCAAGCUUUACAGUAGGA